GAUGAACGCUGGCGGCGUGCUUAACACAUGCAAGUCGAACGGUGAAGCCCAGCUUGCUGGGUGGAUUAGUGGCGAACGGGUGAGUAACACGUGAGUAACCUGCCCUUAACUCUGGGAUAAGCCUGGGAAACUGGGUCUAAUACCGGAUAGGAGCGUCCACCGCAUGGUGGGUGUUGGAAAGAUUUAUCGGUUUUGGAUGGACUCGCGGCCUAUCAGCUUGUUGGUGAGGUAAUGGCUCACCAAGGCGACGACGGGUAGCCGGCCUGAGAGGGUGACCGGCCACACUGGGACUGAGACACGGCCCAGACUCCUACGGGAGGCAGCAGUGGGGAAUAUUGCACAAUGGGCGCAAGCCUGAUGCAGCGACGCCGCGUGAGGGAUGACGGCCUUCGGGUUGUAAACCUCUUUCAGUAGGGAAGAAGCGAAAGUGACGGUACCUGCAGAAGAAGCACCGGCUAACUACGUG
rnacentral:rRNA from 1 species